rnacentral:sRNA from 1 species
CUGACAGCCCUGGGGACAGAAAUCCUCUAUUUAUCCACUAAACAGGUACAGCCCAGCUUCGCUGCCAUGCCAUUGUUUCUCAGCCCUGGAAAGCCCAUAGUUUAGAGCGAGAGAGAGAGAGAAUAUUUCAGCUCCCAUGACCAUUCAGUUGUUGGCCUCU